GGCUGCGGGCGCAGGAGGCCGCCCGCGAUGCCCGCUGGAAUAGUGGGCAGAAGUAAUUACUAGGAGUGCGAAACACGGCCCAUCCUUAGUGUAGAACUGGGCGACUGCCCGGGGCUCAGCGGACCGCUCCCACCGCUGCCUUGUCUCCUGGCUCUGCCUCUUGGAGGCUUUGGCUGAAAAUCUGAGACAAUCUCAUCCCACAUCCUGUGACGUAGGCAACGUAGUCUGAGGAGGAGGAAGACAUGAAGAAGGGGAAUACACUUACAUUUUUCUGCACAAUUUGCCUAGGACUCUAGGGUCUGCCUGAGCCCCUGCAAACAAUCUUCAGUGGUGACUUUGGCUUCCUGGCUUGUUUGGACUCUGGCUGCCUGAACUGACCUGGAGCUGGUGCUGACGGGCCCUAAUGAGGGAGCUUUGUCUCUUUGUAUCGUCGGUAGUGGAUUUGCAGCCCCACUAAGUCAGUUUACCUCUUUCCUGUUUUGUAUUAGAGAUACUUUGUUUUCUAUCAGUUCCUGUCUAGUAUUCUUUCAAAAUGAGCUUAAAUAUUUAGCACCUAAAUCUGGGUGUUAUUUUCUCCUCUAAGUUAUGUCCCUUAAAGGAAAUCCAUUUCAAGAUGAUAAUGCCUGUAUGCUACCUCCAAAAUGACCAUUUAGUGUAUUCCUCUUUGAUAUAUGCUCUUUGUGCACAUUGUGGCAAACCUUUGAGAUGUCAUGUGGGAAAUCCUGGAGCUUAUGUUUUUAAAAAAUUCUUUAUUUGAUAUUUUCAUUACAGCACUAGCCCAUGCUUGUACAUAACAAGCAGUACUAUGGAACAAACAUACAUAAAAGACAAAGCUAAUUACCCCACCUCUGUCCCAAUACCAUCCAUUUACUGUUGCUCCCCUGUUAUAUCUUGUUAGCACAUAUACAAAUACAUAUUCAGAUAUGUUGGGGAUUUGUUAAUCUGUUAUCAUAUAAAUAUAACCAUGUUCUGUACAGUUCCAGGUUUUUGAGGAUUCCAUACUGUGUCCUGAUUUUCUUUUAAAUAUUCUCAGUCAAAGCAUUUCAACUUACUUUUUUCAAUUGACAGUUUAUCAUAGACUUCUCUGCAAGUUAGGAUACAUAUCUAUAACACUAUUUUUUAAUUUCUUUGUACAUAAUCUCACUCUCUCUCACACACACAUUAUUUUACAUAGAAGAGUUCAUUCUGUGAAUACUUGGGAAUGUUCAUUUUGCUUAGACUUUCCAUUUUUUAAAUUUAUUUGCAUCCUCUCCCUCUCUCUUCCCCUUCUCCCCUAUUCAUCUGCCCUACCCUUUUCUCCUCCAGGGAACUUGUAUGAACAACACGAUGAAUAUUUUUUCAUGUUUUCCUCCUUUUCUUGUUUGAUUUAUAAAAAUGAAAUUAUAUUUUAUACCCUGCUCUCAUACUUAGUUUUCUCAUGCAAUAAAACUUCAUUGAAAUUGCUUUGUGUUGACUGGCACACACAGUCUUCUUUGUGGCUACAUAAUAUUUCACAGCGUGGAGGCAUUUAAUAUACUCACCUGUGCCUCUCUUAGUGGGUAUUCAUUUCAGUUCAAAUUGUUGUUUUCACUAUGAAUGAUACUGCAAUGAACAUCAUUAUACAUAUACCCUGGGAAUUUUAUUUCUAGGAAAUAGAUUCCCACAAGGAUUAUAGGGUUUAAGACAUGUGCAUAGUUUUAUGUUUAAUGAAUAUUGCCAGAUUCUUUUCCAAAAGACUUCACAUUACCACCGGAAAUUUAUGAGAGUAAUUCUUUCCCCUAGUUCUAAUCAGAAAUAGGUGUUAUCACCUCUUUAAACUUUUGACCAUCUAAUGAACAAAGUGAGUACUUUAUUGUUA